rnacentral:snoRNA from 1 species
UUUGGCACAAUGAGGAGGUAAUUUAUAGCUAAUGUAUCUCUGAGGUCCGAAGGCCAAUGACUCCUAUGUCCUUUUCAUUCUGAGUGCCUU